UUACGGCCAUAUCACGUUGAAACAUUGGUUCCCAUACGAUCACCUAAGUUAAGUAAUGUCUGGUCAGUACCUAGAUGGGUGACCGUCUGAGAAUGCCAGCUG